AUUGAACGCUGGCGGCAGGCCUAACACAUGCAAGUCGAGCGGCUGAAGGGAGCUUGCUCCUGGAUUCAGCGUCGGACGGGUGAGUAAUGCCUAGGAAUCUGCCUGGUAGUGGGGGAUAACGUCCGGAAACGGGCGCUAAUACCGCAUACGUACCGAGGGAGAAAGUGGGGGAUCUUCGGACCUCACGCUAUCAGAUGAGCCUAGGUCGGAUUAGCUAGUUGGUGGGGUAAAGGCCUACCAAGGCGACGAUCCGUAACUGGUCUGAGAGGAUGAUCAGUCAGACUGGAACUGAGACACGGUCCUGACUCCUACGGGGGGCAGCAGUGGGGAAUAUUGGACAAUGGGCGAAAGCCUGAUCCAGCCAUGCCGCGUGUGUAAAGAAGGUCUUCGGAUUGUAAAGCACUUUAAGUUGGGAAGAAGGGCAGUAAGUUAAUACCUUGCUAUUUUGACGUUACCGACAGAAUAAGCACCGGCUAACUUCGUG
rnacentral:rRNA from 1 species